rnacentral:rRNA from 1 species
UACAGAGGUCUCAAGCGUUGUUCGGAUUCAUUGGGCGUAAAGGGUGCGUAGGUGGCGCCGUAAGUCAGGUGUGAAAUUUCGAGGCUUAACCUCGAAACUGCAUUUGAUACUGCGGUGCUUGAGGACUGGAGAGGAGACUGGAAUUCAUGGUGUAGCAGUGAAAUGCGUAGAGAUCAUGAGGAAGACCAGUGGCGAAGGCGAGUCUCUGGACAUUUCCUAACGCUGAGGCACGAAAGCCAGGGGAGCAAACGGG